UUCAGGGCUGUUUUUGGGGUUGUUUUGGGGUUUUUUAGGGUUUUUUUUUCCGGGAUAUUUUUUGGGCAUUUUUGGGGCUGUUUUGGGCUGUUUUCAGGCUGGUUUUUUUUUGGUUUUUGGGCAUUUUUCGGCCUGUUUUGGGCUGUUUUUCGGGCUGUUUUUUUUGUUUUUCGGGCUGUUUUUUUGGGUUUUUCGGGCUGUUUUUCAGACUGUUUUUCGGGCUGUUGUUUUGGUUUCUCCAGGCAUUUUUCAGCCUGUUUUGGGCUGUUUUUUGGGCUGGUUUUUUUUUUGUUUCUCCGGGCUGUUUUGGGGCUCUUUUUCGGGCUGUUUUUUGGUUUUUUCGGCCUGUUUUGGGCUGUUUUUUGGCCUGUUUUGGGCUGUUUUUCGGGCUGUUUUUUUUGUUUUUUCAGCCUGUUUUGGGCUGUUUUUCAGGCUGUUUUUCUGGGCUGUUUUUCAGGCUGUUUUUUUAAUUUCUCUGGGCAUUUUUUGGCCUGUUUCGGGCUGUUUUUUGGGCUGUUUUUUGUUUUUCGGGCUGUUUUUUGUUUCUUCAUGCUGUUUUUUGUUUUUCCGGCUGUUUUUUUGUUUUUUCAUGCUGUUUUUUGUUUUUCCGGCUGUUUUUUGUUUUUUUCAGGCUGUUUUUUGUUUUUCUGGCUGUUUUUUGUUUUUUCUGGCUGUUUUUUGUUUUUCGGGCUGAUAUUUUGAUUUUUCUGGGCAAUUUUUGGCCUGUUUUGGGCUGUUUUUCGGGCUGUUUUUUGUUUUUUCAGCCUGUUCCGGGCUGUUUUUUAGCUGUUUUUUGGCCGUUUUCGGGCUGUUUUUUGUGUAUUUUCCAGGCUGUUUUUUGGGUGUUUUCAGGCUGGUUUUGGGUAUUUUCCGGGCUGUUUUUUGGCUGUUUUUUGUGUAUUUUCCGGGCUGUUUUUUGGUUUUUCAGGCUGGUUUUGGGUAUUUUCCGGGCUGUUUUUUGGCUGGUUUUUGGCCGUUUCCGGGCUGUUUUUAGUAUAUUUUCCGGGCUGUUUUUUGGGUGUUUUCAGGCUGUUUUUUGGGUAUUUCCCGGGCUGUUUUUUGGCUGUUUUUUGGCUGUUUCCAGGCUGUUUUUUGUGUAUUUCCCGGGCUGUUUUUUGGCUGUUUUGAGGCUAGUUUUGGGUAUUUUCUGGGCUGUUUUUUGGGUAUUUUCCGGGCUGUUUUUUGGCUGUUUUGAGGCUGGUUUUGGGUAUUUUCCGGGCUGUUUUUUGGCUGUUUUUUGGCCGUUUUCGGGCUGUUUUUCCGGCUGUUUUUUGGCCGUUUUCGGGCUGUUUUUUGGGUAUUUCCCGGGCUGUUUUUUGACUGUUUUUUGGCCGUUUUCAGGCUGUUUUUUGGCUGUUUUCCGGGCUGUUUUUUGGCUGUUUUUUGGGUAUUUUCCGGGCUGUUUUUUGGCUGUUUUUUGGCCGUUUUCAGGCUGUUUUUUGGCUGUUUUCCGGGCUGUUUUUCCGGCUGUUUUUUGGCCGUUUCCGGGCUGUUUUUUGGGUAUUUCCCAGCUGUUUUUUGGCUGUUUUUUGGCUGUUUUUUGGCCGUUUUUUGGCCGUUUCCGGGCUGUUUUUUGGGUAUUUUCCGGGCUGUUUUUUGGCCGUUUUCAGGCUGUUUUUUGGCUGUUUUCCGGGCUGUUUUUUGGCUGUUUUUUGGCCGUUUUCAGGCUGUUUUUUGGGUAUUUCCCGGCUGUUUUUUGGCUGUUUUUUGGCCGUUUUCAGGCUGUUUUUUGGCUGUUUUCCGGGCUGUUUUUCCGGCUGUUUUUUGGCCGUUUUUGGGCUGUUUUUUGUGUAUUUCCCGGCUGUUUUUUGGCCGUUUUUUGGCCGUUUUCGGGCUGUUUUUUGGUUUUUGCUCACCAUGCGCAGGUAGUUCAUCAGGCUGGUGCCGUGGGGCCAGAUGCCGGGCGCGGCGCAGGCCAGCGGCCGCCCGCCGAUCUCCUGGCUGCGGUUCAGCUCCCGCACGGCGCCCACCACCACGUGCACGGCGUCGAAGAGCAGCGCGGCCGACAGCUGCGCCACCGGGGACACCUUUCCUCAACUUUUUACCACUUUUUGUCUUUUUUUUGUCCAUUUUUUUGUCAUUUUUUGUCUUUUUUUUGUCAAUUUUUUGGUCAUUUUUUGGCAAGUUUUUUGUCAUUUUUUGGCAAUUUUUUCUCAAUUUUUUGGUCAUUUUUUGUCACUUUUUGUCCAUUCCACCACCACGUGCACGGCGUCGAAGAGCAGCGCGGCCGACAGCUGCGCCACCGGGGACACCUUUUCUCAACUUUUUACCACUUUUUG
ensembl:lncRNA